CAAAAUACGCAUCCUGUUUUCUGUUUUCGGUCUCAGCGCCACGGCGCUUUUUCCAGAGAAAUCUCUCCGUCCCGCCGGUUUUCCCCCGCGCACGUUCGUUCGCCUUGCGCAGAGAGGUGAACAAACAAACAAACAAACAAAAGAGUCGUUAUAUUUCACCGCAAGUUUUCUUUUGUUUUUUGUUUUUUUUUGUUGUUGUGAAAAUUCAUUGCUGGCUACAGUGUGUUCCGUGUGUUGGGGUUGCCCCAACAUCCUCAGUCUUCUCAUAUUUUUGUCUAUAAGGUGCUUUUUUGUAGGUUAUACCUUUGGGGUCAGGGGUCUCAAAAACAGGACCUCCUGGAGUACCAGUGUUUUUGCUGAUGUCACUCAAUCCGCAGUCACUGCUGCAUUCUUUGGGCGAGGGAAUCAGGGAAUUAAGCUGUAGAUUGCACACAGGGUAGGAACCCGCAGGUGGGUUCCAGGAGGGGUAGAGGUGGGUCAUGAAAUAUGGGAGAAAACAUAGUUUUGUAUGUGCUAGCUCAGAUGUCAAAUGAACUGCUGCCAUGGUUAUAUACUGGACGCAGAGAGGUUCUGGGCUCAGGAAGUUCGGAAGCUCUGGAACUGCGAAAGACCACGCGAUGCCCAUGAUGUCAACUGACCCUUGACCGAGGAAGCAAAAGGAGCACUCUGAUACGUCAGCAUUUUUUUUUUUAGUACUGCGCACUAUGGCAACUUACAGGUUACAGGUGCGAUCUCCAACAAAACGACAUUUUGUGUUGCGAUACAUUUUAGUCUCAGUAUUGUCUAGAUGUAAAUGGAAAGUUAGCUGAGUUUUUUUAAUUCAAAGGAAAUUAAUAGAAAAAUAGAUGAAUGUACAUAAAUUAGUUUAUCCAUCCAUCCAUCGUCUAUACCCGCUUAUCCUGGGCAGGGUCGCGGGGAGUGCUGGAGCCUAUCCCAGCAUGAAUUGGGCGAGAGGCAGGAAAUUGUUGUUGUCGUUGCAAUUGUUGUAGGUUUACCAACUUAGUGCAAAAACAUUGUGUAGCACAACAACUAGGGAGUCUACUCCUGCAAGGGUAUGGGUUUGACUCUCAGGUACUGCUCUGCUGCUGUACCUUUGGGCAAGGUGCUUAUGAAUAUGCUCUAUAAAGGGAUUGUAUACACA